rnacentral:lncRNA from 1 species
UAUAGGGGAGGAAGACAAUAAUGUUGUGGACCAUACAUAGUCCAUGGUAAAAUGUUGGUGAAGGUAGGUAGUGGAAGAUGAUCCAUGACAGAGCUACUAAGCAUUUUCUAAUCAUCAGGAUGGUGUAACUUGAUUUUAAUUUCUCCCUUCAUCCCAUUUCUUUAAGUGCUAUGCUAGCUAUUCAGAUGGAUAAAAGGGGUUUUUAUGAUAUCUCCAUAUUUAUGCACUUAUCUCCUUAAUUCUUUGACAUUUUGUUUCUUGAGGAGAAUGGGGAAGGCAGCCAUUGGAAAGCCAACUGAGCAACAGGUGAAGUUUUAUUAAGUGCAUAUCAUUGACUUAAAAAUAUUUAGUCUGUUGUAAAAAUAUUUUCAGUCUCCAAGGGGAUGUCUAAUUCUUUAAAAAAUCAUUCUUUUCAUAAAUAAAGUUUUAAUAUUUUCAGAGGUUUUUGGUUAUUAAUUUAGUAUGUUGCUCAGGAUAAUAUCAAAAUAUCAGCCAGUAUUUUCUAUUUUAUUUCUUAAGAUUUCAAUCGAUAUUUGAAUUAUCAAUUAGUCAAAUUAGCAGUUCAUUCCGGAAAUUAAUAGUGUCUGGUUUCAUUUCAUUUUAGCCUCAAGAGAAGUCCAUCUGCAUUCUUUUGGUACAGCUCAUCUAGAUACUUGCCCUGUUCCCGCACCCUUACUUGUAAACAGGUAUACAUUAUUCCCGCACUUAUGAAUUACAUCUCUCUUUCUCUCUCGUGACAAUUUUGACAGUUAUGUGAUUACUGAUAUGUUUCUUCUGUUUCAUUAGGUAAUGAUUUUUGAGAAAAUCAUUUAGAAAGAUUUAUACUUGCUAAUUUGCUUUAAAAAAAAUUAUAGCAUUAACAAGAAUACUAGCACAAAGGUCAAUAUGAAGGAGAAGGCGAAACAUUAAUAAAAUCUUUCAUUCCUUUUAGCAUCUAUAACAUCUGUUUCCAACCAUUCUUUCUGAGAAAUAAAAGCUCUUAUGCAAGAAUGAGUUGUGAUUCAGAGUUGCAUGAAUUGUUAACAUAUCAUGAGUAAACAAUGGGUAGUGUAUCGAGCAGCUCAGCAUCAGAAACAAUCUUACCAAAGAAUUGGUGAGCACCGCAAUCAAUAUUUAGAUUUUAUUUAUUAUUUAACUAAUAUUGCUUCUUUUUGUGCAUACUAGGUAACAACAUGCCGCGAGGAAAAUGAUUCAGAGAUGUUGAGUUUCAGCACACAACUGUGGGAUCUUCUUCCGAUCAGUCCUUGCAGUCCCAGCAGCCCGACGAGUCCCAGCAGCACGAGUCCCAUUCUCAGCACGAGUCUCAGUCUGAGCACGUGCCACCUGUUGAUUGUCCAGACAUGGAUGACGUGCACAUCCAAGGUAAUUUGAUUUAUAUUUUAUAUAUUAAUUUUUC